GACGAACGCUGGCGGCGUGCUUAACACAUGCAAGUCGAACGGAAAGGCCCCUUUGGGGGUACUCGAGUGGCGAACGGGGGAGUAACACGUGAGUAACCUGCCCUUGACUUCGGGAUAACUUCAGGAAACUGGGGCUAAUACCGGAUAGGAAUCCUUGCUGCAUGGUGGGGGUUGGAAAGCUUCGGCGGUUUUGGAUGGACUCGCGGGUUAUCUGCUUGCUGGUUGGGUAGUGGCUUACCAAGGCGUUUACGGGUAGCCGGCCUGAGAGGGCGACCGGCCACACUGGGACUGAGAUAAGGCCCAGACUCCUACGGGAGGGAGAAGUGGGGAAUAUUGCACAAUGGGCGGAAGCCUGAUGCAGCAACGCCGCGUGCGGGAUGACGGCCUUCGGGUUGUAAACCGCUUUCAGCAGGGGCGAAGCUUGUGGUGACGGUACCUGCAGAAGAAGCACCGGCUAACUACGUG
rnacentral:rRNA from 1 species